ACGGGUGAGUAACACGUGGUCAACCUUCCCUAGAUGGGGGAUAACUAGCCGAAAGGUUAGCUAAUACCGCAUACGAUCUUCGAGGGGCAUCCCUUGAAGAUGAAAGGAGCAAUUCGCUCUAGGACGGGACCGCGUCCCAUUAGCUAGUUGGUGGGGUAAUGGCCUACCAAGGCUCCGAUGGGUAGCUGGUUUGAGAGAAUGACCAGCCACACUGGGACUGAGAAACGGCCCAG
rnacentral:rRNA from 1 species